UACGUAGGGAGCGAGCGUUAAUCGGAAUUACUGGGCGUAAAGCGUGCGCAGGCGGGUUUGUAAGCCAGACGUGAAAUCCCCGGGCUCAACCUGGGAAUGGCGUUUGGGACUGCAAGGCUGGAGUGUGGCAGAGGGGACUAGAAUUCCUGGUGUAGCAGUGAAAUGCGUAGAUAUCAGGAGGAAUACCGAUGGCGAAGGCAGGUACCUGGGCUAACACUGACGCUCAUGCACGAAAGCGUCGGGAGCAAACAGG
rnacentral:rRNA from 1 species